CCGAUUGGGGUGGUUUCCCCUGGAGGCAGGUGUGCCUGUUUGCAUAUGUGUGAGUGUGAGAGAGUGACUCUGCAGCCGGGAGUUCCCCUGAGGUAUGUAAUUCACAACUUUCACUUAUCAAUACUGCACAAUGAUGGAUGACUAAAAUGACUAUGUAAGAUUCAUAUUCUUCAUACAGUCAAACAGCAAGUCAGGGAUUCCCAGUAUAACAACAAACACUAUACCCUCAGUGUGCCUGUCUGAAAAAUGAGUGAUACUUCUAAAUUAGCAUUACGUAAUAGCACGGCUGGACCAGCACAGUGUCUCUAGGUGUGGCCAUGGGUAUAUGCUGGGUAUAAGUUUAAUUGGAGUCAAUUGUGGUCAAGAGAGGUACUUAGAGUGGUCAGAUACUCUAUUUAUGUGUGUAUAGUUGUGUAUAGUCCAGAUUGGUGGACUAUAAUACCCAUACCCACAAAAGAAUGGGGGCUCUUUCUUACUGAAAAAUCAAAGUGAUGAAGGUCAAAGCAGCAACAUGAUGUCACAAAAAGUGUUAGCCAUAUACAUUAUCUGUAGAGUGAAAAAAGAACGACGGAUGCAGCAUUUCCAUUUUGCAUUGUACGGCACGACUCUAGUCAAGUCGAAGCGCUCUUUUUCGGUUUUCUAUUAGCAAUAAUUGUGGCUAGUAACUAGUACUUUUGGUAUCAACUCAGUCAAGGUUUUAAGCAAGCUGAGCCAACACUAAAAGGUGGAAUUAAAACUCUGCAGACCACUGAUUGGUCAGAGAGAAUCGGCACUAGACUGUGACAGGAAGUCCUGCACAAACUAUGCGCUAUGCACACAUUGAGCUAGCUAAAUUUGAAAAUGCAGAGUAUGUGUUCACACUAGUGUUUCCAGGUUGUGUUCAUAAAGACAAAUGGCUAAAUCCUUUCUUCUUCAUACUCUGUUGGUCGGUAAUCAACAAAACUACUGUACAUAUUUUUCUGUUUCUGCUUACAAUCAUGAUCAUCAAGAUCAUGGCUCAUAAAUAGUACCUUUUACCAGGCACACAUUAAUUCCCGUGCUGCUGUGUAGAUAUGUGAAUUAAGAUAACUAUUUUGAGAUUGUGAUGUAGUCUAACAAAUUUUAACAUAAAUUCUCUCGAGAGUUGUCGAAAGUCUCCAUUUGUGUGAAAUCUGCCAGCUAGUGUGGACGGAAAAGCCGAAAUGAAAGAAAAGGAUACAUUUUUAACCUUAGUUGACAAAAUGUACGUGAGUCUUCCUCUCUCAACUUGGCCCUCGUGUGGCCCACAAAAAAGGAUGUGAUGUCACAGUUGGGAUUUAGGUAAUACAAAAAUACUGAGCAGAGCAAUCCCAAACACUAAACAGUCUGUGAAACAGGUGGUGCAGUUCAUCAUCUCAUAGAGUAAUAUUGUACUAAACAGGGUACAUGCUAGAAUAAUAACUUCUCCAUUUCCAAACACAGUGUGUGAGUGUUUCUAUUUCUAUUCACCUUUAGUGUCGAUGUACUCAUCUUCAGGUUGGCCCCCUGUGACCGUAAAACAGAAAUGUUCAAUGUAAGGGGAUCACUGAGGUUAAAACUGCCAAUUAAAAAAGCAAAAGUCCUCUUGUUAAAUACAGACCGAUUACAAUAAAGGAGGACUUUGUCCCAAACAUUUUGUCCAUUAGGUGUGUCCAUUGGUCUGCUCUGUCUGUGAGAUUGGAGGCAGCCAUGCUGUGCGGUGUUGUGUUUGUUGUUAUGGUACAGAGGUGAUCCCUCAUGUCUCUCUCAGUGAGCAGCUGUCACUCCCUGCACCUCUGCUGUUGUUGUUGUCUUGAUGAGGUACUUUCCCUCCCUCCCACUUCCUCCCACAUGACCCUUUGUUUAUGACAGGGUGUGUGUGUGUGUGUGUGUGUGUGUGUGUGUGUGUGUGUGUGUGUGUGUGUGUGUGUGUGUGUGUGUGUGUGUGUGCUACAUGUGGCACAUGUAUCUGAUGUGGGCCCGCGGAUUCUCAGAACAUGAUUCAAACCGAAUGUACCUUCACUACUGAUGAUGUGCAUGCCCACACACAAAACAGGCACAAAAACAUGGGCACUGACACAUUCGUAUUCCAUCUUCCUCUUGUGCACAAAUGCACGUUCAUUGGAAUCUUCUCCACUAACAGAUACCAGCAAUCACAACCCAGUCUUUUCACCAGGCAGCGUUGUUUCUCACGUUUUACUCAUCCAGUUAGUGACGUGCCGAUUGUGUGACGAUGUUGUGUCGUGUGAUUGUUUUUGCAUAACUCCUGCUUCUCUUUUCCACGCACACUCAUUUGUCUCGCUUGCCUUGACUUCCACUGCCGUAAUGUCCACUGUACAAGCAUGUGGACGUCCAUCAGGGGAACAAAACUCUGGGAGGAAUUGGGAAUCCCCUGCUUAACGGCUUCUUUGAUAAACGAAAGGUAGCGAGCUGCACCCAGCAGAUGGUACGUGAUUAUUCUUUGGGCAUUUCUGCCUUUAAUCACCAGGACAGCAUGAAAGGGGAGAGAGACAUGCAGCAAACCUGCCGCGGGUUCCAACAGAAAUCCUUUCUGAGCUUUAUGUUAUUGCUAUAAAAAAUGCGUUUUCUGUUUAUAAAAGCAACAUAUUUGUAAUCAUUAAAGGUUCUUGGGUCAAUCAUGUGAGUGUAAUAAAUACUUUAAUGAAAAAGGAA